CUAGGAACUGGAGCUUAUGCUGGGCAGAGAAUGAAGAAAAGCUGAUCCCUGUCUAUGCAAGUGGCAGAAGCAAUUCACAAAGAGAGGUUUGGUGGGAGAGAGGAAGAAGCUGGCAGAGGAGAGGAAGAAGUUCUGUAUUCAAGCCAGAAGGAACCCACUGUCCAGCAUGAAAGAUACCAUCCAGUCUGAAAGAGGAGCCUACUUCAGAUGUGUCUAAAGGUCCCCCUGAUGGUGAGAAUCUUGGAUGUGAAAUAAAACAGGAAAUGGUUUGGCAGGUGCCUGGGCAUAACUCUUGGACAAGGCUCUGAGUAAUGACUUAAC
rnacentral:lncRNA from 1 species